AGUGAACGCUGGCGGUAGGCCUAACACAUGCAAGUCGAACGGCGGCACAGUAAGAGCUUGCCCUUACGGGUGGCGAGUGGCGGACGGGUGAGGAAUACAUCGGAAUCUACUUUUUCGUGGGGGAUAACGUAGGGAAGCUUACGCUAAUACCGCAUACGACCUACGGGUGAAAGCAGGGGAUCUUCGGACCUUGCGCGAUUGAAUGAGCCGAUGUCGGAUUAGCUAGUUGGCGGGGUAAAGGCCCACCAAGGCGACGAUCCGUAGCUGGUCUGAGAGGAUGAUCAGCCACACUGGAACUGAGACACGGUCCAGACUCCUACGGGAGGCAGCAGUGGGGAAUAUUGGACAAUGGGCGCAAGCCUGAUCCAGCCAUACCGCGUGGGUGAAGAAGGCCUUCGGGUUGUAAAGCCCUUUUGUUGGGAAAGAAAAGCAGCAGGUUAAUACCCCGCUGUUCUGACGGUACCCAAAGAAUAAGCACCGGCUAACUUCGUG
rnacentral:rRNA from 1 species